rnacentral:tRNA from 1 species
GCGAGGAUGGCGGAACUGGCAGACGCGCCGGACUUAGGAUCCGGUGUCUUACGACGUGCGGGUUCAAGUCCCGCUCCUCGCACCG